UCUAUAAAUAACAACAAAAGAUAACGAUCUUAAACAUGUUAAAAUGAGGAUGCCGAUGAAACGUUCACUUUCAUUACAUUUUUUGUGUGUAAAAUUGAUUAUGAUCGUUGCCAUCAUCACUUCUGUGAUGACAAAAAGCAGUAGUAUUGGCGAACACUCAAUUGCCCCUCCAAAAUGUACCAAGCAAGAAUGGCAAAGUAAGAAAUUCAGGGGGAAUUGCGAUACACAUUCACCUUCAAAUGAAUUAAAAUGUUUUUAUACCUGUAGAGAUGAAGGUGUAGAAACAGGAAGAUGUAUGCCUACCGGAUGGUGUAACUGUUACUGCAAAAAUCCAGACUCAGGCUUGCUGGGUGGCUGUCUGCGAGGUGGGAUCACCUCGGCGGUUGGGAGGACCGUGGAAUAUCCCCACCCCCCAUAUUAACAUAUUAACGGGUUAAACAAUAUUAGAUAUUUUAAAAUACAAGUUUUACAUGUAUAAUGUGAGAUUAUAUUCUUAUCUA